ACUGGCGCACGGGUGCGUAACGCGUAUAGACCUACCUUUUCAUAGGAAUAGCCUUUUGAAAUGUAGAUUAUUGCCUUAUAGUCUUUCAUGAGUAAAGAUUUAUCGGUAUAAGAUGGCUAUGCGUCCUAUUAGCUAGAUGGUAAGGUAACGGCUUACCAUGGCAACGAUAGGUAGGGGUCCUGAGAGGGAGAUCCCCCACACUGGUACUGAGACACGGACCAGACUCCUACGGGAGGCAGCAGUGAGGAAUAUUGGGCAAUGGAGGCAACUCUGACCCAGCCAUGCCGCGUGCAGGAAGAAGGCCUAUGGGUUGUAAACUGCUUUUAUACAGGAAGAAACAGCUCUACGUGUAGAGCCUUGACGGUACUGUAAGAAUAAGCACCGGCUAACUCCGUGCCAGCAGCCGCGGUAAUACGGAGGGUGCAAGCGUUAUCCGGAAUCAUUGGGUUUAAAGGGUCCGCAGGCGGUCAAUUAAGUCAGAGGUGAAAUCCCAUAGCUUAACUAUGGAACUGCCUUUGAUACUGGUUGACUUGAGUCAUAUGGAAGUAGAUAGAAUGUGUAGUGUAGCGGUGAAAUGCAUAGAUAUUACACAGAAUACCGAUUGCGAAGGCAGUCUACUACGUAUGUACUGACGCUCAUGGACGAAAGCGUUGGAAGCGACCAGAAUAGAAUACCCUGAUAGUCACGCCCG
rnacentral:rRNA from 1 species